rnacentral:misc_RNA from 1 species
UGCUCUGCAUCAUUAUCAUAUUCAAUCUCAAAUUCCUGCCUCUUGAAAUUGUAGCCACUCAACUCUGUCAUGGAAGGCCCUUCCUCCCCUGAAAUCCUAAGUUUUUUCUCUCCAAUACUCCUGUCUGCCAGAGAAUCUUCCACUUUAAUGCCAUCCUUAAUCUGGGCCAUAUUGGAGGCCUUCUUGACUGCACCUGUGGAAGUGUUACCACUGCUUGAACUCAUAAAAGAACCGAAUUCUGCUUUUAAGCUUGAUGACAAUUGACAAGCUACAUCUUUGUUUUGUUCUUCACUUCUGAUCAAGCACAUUGAUGAUGACCAGCAAAUUAAUAUUACAGUGCAAAUGGAAUUACGUAAUUCUAUAAUGGAGAAGAUGGAUAUACUUGAUUCUUGCAGAUAAAUGAGACUCAUCUUUCGGUGUAAGCUCCCCAAGGGCAGGAAACUCUGUGGCAAUAAAACUACCUUUCUUGAUUAUACAGUUUUCUUUAGCCAUUGCAAGGAGCUCCUCUCUGCUCUUUCCCAUAACAUGAGACAUGUCUGGAAGAGGAAAGCAUGGAGAAUUCAUGUAAACAGCAUUAUAAUGAUCAAUACAUUGCAACUUGCUCUUGGUUCCAACAUGUUCUGCAACUUCAGUCCAAUUUCCAAAUCCAUACAUUUCAAUGCCCUCAAGAAGUAAAAUCUCUUCAUCUGCAUUCCAGUCUGGACAAAUGAGAGGAAAAGACAAAUUGUCCAUAACCCUGUACGGAUGACUGCUUUUAUGAGGAGUAACCUCAGCUCCAACAGAAAAGCACUCUAUGCAAAGGUCAAAAUCUGGACACACUGCACACUUAAUGCGAACCAUUCCAGAGAUAUCUUUAUUGCAAUAAUUACAGUGAUACAGUGCUGCUUUCCCUUCACUCAUUUCUUGGCAUACUGUAGAUGCAGUCUGUGCACUCUCUAGACUGGAAGCUGUCUUUUUUCUCUUUGAUCUUUGGUUGACGUCUUCAAGAACAGAAUGGGACACUGCUCGCGAGCGGCCCAUGGUCGACUAACUUGAGGGAGAGACUCAAAGAACAAAUCCUCUAAUCGCUGGGAACAGAUAAAUUACUAUCAGAAAAUCAGAUGCCAAAAACUAUCGAAAAGCUCAGCUUGAUCGGAGCUUCUUUAGGCUUAAGUCCUAAUUCGUUUCUUCCGGCGUAGAAACGUCGAGGUCCGCUGUUCCAGGUGAGGCGGUUGAUA